rnacentral:rRNA from 1 species
CCUACGGGCGGCAGCAGUGGGGAAUAUUGCACAAUGGGGGAAACCCUGAUGCAGCGACGCCGCGUGAGUGAAGAAGUAAUUCGUUAUGUAAAGCUCUAUCAGCAGGGAAGAAAAUGACGGUACCUGAGUAAGAAGCCCCGGCUAACUACGUGCCAGCAGCCGCGGUAAUACGUAGGGGGCAAGCGUUAGUCGGAUUUACUGGGUGUAAAGGGAGCGUAGACGGCAGAGCAAGUCUGGUGUGAAAGGCGGGGGCUCAACCCCCGGACUGCUCUUGAAACUGUACGGCUGGAGUGCGGGAGAGGUAAGUGGAAUUCCUGGUGUAGGGGUAAAAUGCGUAGAUAUUAAGAGGAACACCAGUGGCGAAGGCGGCUUGCUGGACUGUAACUGACGUUGAGGCUCGAAAGCGUGGGGAGCAAACAGGAUUAGAUACCCUUGUAGUC